UACGAAGGGGGCUAGCGUUGUUCGGAAUCACUGGGCGUAAAGCGCACGUAGGCGGAUUUGUUAGUCAGGGGUGAAAUCCCGGGGCUCAACCUCGGAACUGCCUUUGAUACUGCAAAUCUCGAGUCCGAUAGAGGUGAGUGGAAUUCCUAGUGUAGAGGUGAAAUUCGUAGAUAUUAGGAAGAACACCAGUGGCGAAGGCGGCUCACUGGAUCGGUACUGACGCUGAGGUGCGAAAGCGUGGGGAGCAAACAGG
rnacentral:rRNA from 1 species